rnacentral:lncRNA from 1 species
UGGGUACAUGCAAAGUUCUAUGUUUAAUUUCUUCAAAAUACAUACAUUUAGUGCUGCAUCCUAUAGCUAGCACUUUGAAAUACCUCAUGUUUAUGAAAAUACAUAGCAAUUAAAUUAUGCAAAAAUGGAAGACUCAUUACUUAGGAGCUGAUGAACUAGGCAACAGCUCAUCUACAUGAUGAGCAGCCUUCAUCUAAUGGGCUUUAUUACAACACUGCAACAUCACAACUAAAGGAUAUGCAUUCUUUUUUGAGUGAAUAUGAAAAUGGAACAUAAACCAAAUCUCAAAAAUUCUAAAGAAUGAAAUCAUGCCACAUAUCUUCUCUGAACACCAUGAAAGCAAGCUAGAGGUGAGGCAUGGUGGCCUCUGCCUGUAUUUGGCCUGGGGCAAGCAGAAGGUUCCCAUAUUAAAAACCAGCCUGGGUAACCCAACAAGAUCCCUAUAAAAAAAGUCUGUGGAUACAGCUCACUCAUAGAGGGCCCUUAGGUUCCAUUCACCUCCAGCAUCUUAAAACUAAAUAAAUAUUUAAAUUAAAAAUAACAUGUGUCAAAGAAAAAAAAAUCAUAAUGAAAAUUAGACAACUUUUUUUAAAGGCAGGACAAUAGUUUUAACUGAAUGCUGAAUACCUAAUAAUAAUGAAAAAAAUAAUGAAGCAGAUACAACUGUGAGACUGAAAUGUUAG